UCCUCAAACAAGAAAAGCGCUUGCUCUUUCUUUUUGCAUUCUUGUUUACUGUCCAAGUCACAAGGUUUAAAAUGAGUUUCUUGAGGUCAGGUCCUGGCUUUCACCACUCUAGGGAGAGUUAGUGAAAAAGAUAAGACGGAGACAGUGACUGACAUAGCUUUAUUUAAAGGGGUGCUUUUUAAACAGGAAUCAUCUCAUCAUUGGAACAGAAGACUUCAAUCAAAAGGGUUCCAAAAUCAAAAAAGCUAGGUCUGCAUACUGAAUACAUUCAAGAGAAGAAUAAAUAUGGGUGGCAGUGGUCCUAGUAAAGAAUAUGUUAAAGUAUAUCAUUGUUGCAGAUGCAGCUGUCAAAUCACUGGUGAUUAUGGCACAUACGGCAAUGCAGUUUACUGCAGAUCAUGUCAUAAUACUGAAACAGCAGAAAGGGCAAGUGCAGAAGCGAAAAGACAAAAUGAGCAAAUGGAAAUCCAAAAGCAACAACGAGCAAGACAAAAGGAGAUGGAGGAAAGACAACGCAUCCAAGGAGAAGCACAAAAAAGAAAGCUGGAAAAAGAAAACGCAGCAAUGAUAACUGCUCAGUAAAGUGCUGUGAGCUUCACAUUCCUUCAGUGUUAUUUGAAGGAUGAGAAUCACAGUUUGUGCUCCACAGUCUUGAACCCUUCAAUACAGAGCAGGCUUCUUAAGCUCUGCAUAGAGGCACAUGCAUUAUUCCUGGUAUCAUAUGAAUUUGCAACUUCUUCUGAUGUCUUGAUAACCCACACAAUUAAAACUAAAGGAUUACAGUU